rnacentral:tRNA from 1 species
GCGGGCGUAGUGAAAUGGCUAUCACAACAGUCUCCAAAACUGUUAUUUCAGGUUCGAAUCCUGGCGCCCGUG